AGCAGUCGCCGCGGUAAUACAGAGGGUGCGAGCGUUAAUCGGAUUUACUGGGCGUAAAGCGUGCGUAGGCGGCUUUUUAAGUCGGAUGUGAAAUCCCUGAGCUUAACUUAGGAAUUGCAUUCGAUACUGGGAAGCUAGAGUAUGGGAGAGGAUGGUAGAAUUCCAGGUGUAGCGGUGAAAUGCGUAGAGAUCUGGAGGAAUACCGAUGGCGAAGGCAGCCAUCUGGCCUAAUACUGACGCUGAGGUACGAAAGCAUGGGGAGCAAACAGGAUUAGAUACCCCCGUAGUCCUGUCUCUUAUACA
rnacentral:rRNA from 1 species